AUAUAUAGUACUAUUCUGAAUGCCCCAUCAAUGCCCUAUCAAGGAAGCUAAGGUCAGGCAGACCUGGUUGGUACUUGGGUGGGAGGCUGCCUGGGAACACUGGACACUAUGGGUU
rnacentral:rRNA from 1 species